GUGUCAGCAGCCGCGGUAAUACGGAGGAUGCAAGCGUUAUCCGGAUUUAUUGGGUUUAAAGGGUGCGUAGGCUGUGUAGCAAGUCAGUGGUGAAAGCCCGGUGCUCAACACCGGAACUGCCAUUGAUACUGUUGCGCUGGAAUACGGAUGCCGUGGGAGGAAUGAGUAGUGUAGCGGUGAAAUGCAUAGAUAUUACUCAGAACACCGAUUGCGAAGGCAUCUCACGAAUCCGUCAUUGACGCUGAGGCACGAAAGCGUGGGGAUCAAACAGGAUUAGAUACCCUGGUAGUCCACGCAGUAAACGAUGAUAACUAACCGUCGGCGAUAGACAGUCGGUGGCCAAGCGAAAGCGAUAAGUUAUCCACCUGGGGAGUACGACCGCAAGGUUGAA
rnacentral:rRNA from 1 species